AGCGAACGCUGGCGGCAGGCUUAACACAUGCAAGUCGAGCGGGCACUUUCGGGUGUCCGCGGCGGACGGGUGAGUAACGCGUGGGAACGUGCCCUCUGGUUCGGAAUAACUCAGGGAAACUUGAGCUAAUACCGGAUACGCCCUUUUGGGGAAAGGCUUGCUGCCGGAGGAUCGGCCCGCGUCUGAUUAGGUAGUUGGUGAGGUAACGGCUCACCAAGGCGGGGAUCAGUAGCUGGUCCGAGAGGAUGAUCAGCCACACUGGGGCUGAGACGCGGCCCCGACUCGGGCGGGAGGCCACGGCCGGGACUCUUGGGGGAGGCGCGAGGGGGGAAUAUGGGAAAGGGGCGCAAGGCAAGAACGACCCCGGGUGGGGGAGGGAUAAUGGCAGGAGGGAUAAAAAGUCCUUUAAUCCGGGGCGAUAAUGACGGUACCGGAGAAAUAAGCCCCGGCUAACUUCGUG
rnacentral:rRNA from 1 species